rnacentral:lncRNA from 1 species
GAGUUUUCAGAACUAAUAUUUGGCGACUCCAAGGCCAGGGAUAAAAAUGAAGAGAUGGAGAGACAAGAUUUCCUGGCCUCUAAUUGGCAGCACCCGUUGACUCUGCUCGUGACCAGACUCAUGAACGCUUCAUCCAAGGUUUCAUGUCAUCCGUGUGAGGAACCUCUCUGAUUUGAGAAAAUCUUUCUUAAAAUGGGCUUCUAGUUGUAAAGCCAUUGUCUUUUUAGGAAAUCAUCAAAUACCUUAAAGCUAGACACGCAAUCAGCUGCAUAAAUGACACACUCACUAAAUCAAUCCUUUAUCAGG